UUUUUUGAGAGUUUGAUCCUAGCUCAGGAUGAACGCUGGCGGCGUGUUUAAGGCAUGCAAGUCGAACGAGUCGAUCUCACGAGAUUACAUCAAGGGAGAUCGGCGAGUGGCAAACGGGUGAGUAUAACAUAAGUAAUUUGCCCUUAUCCCAGACAUAACUUGGCGAAAGCUAAGCUAAUAUCUGAUGGCCUUCUUUGACAAUUGUUGAAGAAGUAAAGGUCCGAUCAAAAGUCGGAAUGGAUAAGGAGAAGCUUAUGUCCCAUCAGGUAGUUGGCGGGGUAAUAGCCCACCAAGCCAAUGACGGGUAGCAGGUGUGAGAGCACGACCUGCCUCACUGGGACUGAGACACUGCCCAGACUCCUAUGGGAGGCUGCAGUCAAGAAUCUUCCUCAAUGGCCGAAAGGCUGAAGGAGCGACGCCGCGUGCAGGAAGAAGCCCUUCGGGGUGUAAACUGUUUUUCUAGGGGAGCACCUCCGAGAGUACCCUAGGAAUAAGUCGCUGCUAACCUCGUGCCAGCAGCCGCGGUAAGACGAGGGCGGCAAGCGUUAUCCGGAUUUAUUGGGCGUAAAGGGUGCGUAGGCGGUCUGAUGCAUCAUUUAUAAAAUCCUUCGGCUUAACCGAAGAAUUGUAAAUGAGAUGGUUGGACUAGAGACUGGGAGAGGCAAGCGGAAUUAUCGGUGUAGGGGUAAAAUCCAUUGAUAUCGAUAAGAACGCCAAAAGCGAAGGCAGCUUGCUAGAACAGUUCUGACGCUGAGGCACUAAAGCGUGGGGAGCAAAAAGGAUUAGAUACUUAAAUCAUCGCAGAGAGUUAUUCUUUUCUCGGUGAAGCGAUGAGCUCCGAAAAAAUAUCGGAGUAGUUAAAGGGUGUCCCCUUUGAUGGUAACAUCAGAGUGUGCAUCCAGCUGUAACGGUGAAGCCUGUUCUUUAUAUAUAAAAAUAUAAAGAGAAGGUGAUACCGUGGGAAGUUUUCUUGAAUAAUUUUUGAGAGAACCCCGUAGAGACUAAGUGUGGAAAUUUUUAAAUUUCCACUAACGCUGGACCCGCCAAAAUUUUGCUUGGCAAAACUUAGGCGGGAUGAUAUAGUCCGAUCCUCCAAGUAAUUGGAGCAAAAUAAAAUCUACAAGAUGACCCUUGUAGUCCACGCCCUAAACGAUGGAUGCUAGAUAUUGGAAGUGUCGACCCUUCCAGUGUCGUUAUAAAAAAGCUAACGCGUUAAGCAUCCCGCCUGGGAAGUACGGCCGCAAGGCUAAAACUCAAAGGAAUAGACGGGGACCUGCACAAGCGGUGGAUCAUGUGGUUUAAUUCGACGACAAACGAGGAACCUUACCAGGACUUGACAUUCUACUAGUAAGCCGACGGAAACAUCGGCUGACCGUUAAAUCGGCGAGUAGAACAGGUGCUGCAUGGUUGUCGUCAGCUCGUGUUGUGAAAUGUACCUUUAAUUAGGACAACGAGCGCAACCCUUAUCCUUAAUUGCUCCGGCGUUCGUCGGAGAAAUUUUAAGGAGACUGCCGGUGAUAAACCGGAGGAAGGAGAGGAUGACGCCAAAUCCGCACGGCCUUUAUGUCCUGGGCUACACACAUGAUACAAUGGCCGGCACAAAGGGUAGCCAAGUCGUAAGACGGAGCUUAAUCCCAUCAAAGCCGGUCUCAGUUCGGAUUGAGGUCUGAAACCUGACCUCAUGAAGCUGAAAUCGCUAGUAACCGUAUAUCAGCUAUGGUACGGUGAAUACGUUCUCAGGUCUUGUACUCACCGCCCGUCACGUCAAGAGAGUCGGUAAUAUCCGAGACCCCGCGUUCGCGGGAUAAAGAUAGGACCGAUAAUAGGGACGAAGUCGUAACAAGGCACCCGUAGCGGAAGCUGUGGGUGGAAGAUACCUCAU
rfam:Parcubacteria group bacterium CG2_30_36_38 cg2_3.0_scaffold_2318_c, whole genome shotgun sequence.